UGGGGAAUCUUGGACAAUGGGCGCAAGCCUGAUCCAGCCAUGCCGCGUGGAUGAUGAAGGCCCUAGGGUUGUAAAAUCCUUUCGUUGGGGACGAUAAUGACGGUACCCAAAGAAGAAGCUCCGGCUAACUUCGUGCCAGCAGCCGCGGUAAUACGAAGGGGGCUAGCGUUGUUCGGAUUUACUGGGCGUAAAGCGCGUGUAGGCGGGUCGUUAAGUUGGGGGUGAAAUCCCGAGGCUCAACCUCGGAACUGCCUUCAAAACUGGCGACCUGGACUCAAGUAGAGGCAAGUGGAAUUGCGAGUGUAGAGGUGAAAUUCGUAGAUAUUCGCAGGAACACCAGUGGCGAAGGCGACUUGCUGGACUUGUAGUGACGCUGAGACGCGAAAGCGUGGGGAGCAAACAGGAUUAGAUACCCCCGUAGUCCCUGAGCGGGCUGGCAAGGCGCAU
rnacentral:rRNA from 1 species